rnacentral:tRNA from 2 species
GGAGAAAUGGCAGAGUGGUUGAUCGUGACGAUAUCGAAAAUCGUUUUAACUUACGUUAACGAGGGUUCAAAUCCCUCUUUCUCCU